GAGGAGCUUGCUCCUUUGACGUUAGCGGCGGACGGGUGAGUAACACGUAGGUAACCUACCUAUAAGACUGGGAUAACUUCGGGAAACCGGAGCUAAUACCGGAUAAUAUUUCGAACCGCAUGGUUCAAUAGUGAAAGAUGGCUUUGCUAUCACUUAUAGAUGGACCUGCGCCGUAUUAGCUAGUUGGUAAGGUAACGGCUUACCAAGGCAACGAUACGUAGCCGACCUGAGAGGGUGAUCGGCCACACUGGAACUGAGACACGGUCCAGACUCCUACGGGAGGCAGCAGUAGGGAAUCUUCCGCAAUGGGCGAAAGCCUGACGGAGCAACGCCGCGUGAGUGAUGAAGGUCUUCGGAUCGUAAAACUCUGUUAUUAGGGAAGAA
rnacentral:rRNA from 1 species